rnacentral:rRNA from 1 species
AAAUUGAAGAGUUUGAUCAUGGCUCAGAUUGAACGCUGGCGGCAGGCCUAACACAUGCAAGUCGAGCGGUAGCACAGAGAGCUUGCUCUCGGGUGACGAGCGGCGGACGGGUGAGUAAUGUCUGGGAAACUGCCUGAUGGAGGGGGAUAACUACUGGAAACGGUAGCUAAUACCGCAUAACGUCGCAAGACCAAAGUGGGGGACCUUCGGGCCUCAUGCCAUCAGAUGUGCCCAGAUGGGAUUAGCUAGUAGGUGGGGUAACGGCUCACCUAGGCGACGAUCCCUAGCUGGUCUGAGAGGAUGACCAGCCACACUGGAACUGAGACACGGUCCAGACUCCUACGGGAGGCAGCAGUGGGGAAUAUUGCACAAUGGGCGCAAGCCUGAUGCAGCCAUGCCGCGUGUAUGAAGAAGGCCUUCGGGUUGUAAAGUACUUUCAGCGGGGAGGAAGGCGAUAAGGUUAAUAACCUUGUCGAUUGACGUUACCCGCAGAAGAAGCACCGGCUAACUCCGUGCCAGCAGCCGCGGUAAUACGGAGGGUGCAAGCGUUAAUCGGAAUUACUGGGCGUAAAGCGCACGCAGGCGGUCUGUCAAGUCGGAUGUGAAAUCCCCGGGCUCAACCUGGGAACUGCAUUCGAAACUGGCAGGCUAGAGUCUUGUAGAGGGGGGUAGAAUUCCAGGUGUAGCGGUGAAAUGCGUAGAGAUCUGGAGGAAUACCGGUGGCGAAGGCGGCCCCCUGGACAAAGACUGACGCUCAGGUGCGAAAGCGUGGGGAGCAAACAGGAUUAGAUACCCUGGUAGUCCACGCCGUAAACGAUGUCGAUUUGGAGGUUGUGCCCUUGAGGCGUGGCUUCCGGAGCUAACGCGUUAAAUCGACCGCCUGGGGAGUACGGCCGCAAGGUUAAAACUCAAAUGAAUUGACGGGGGCCCGCACAAGCGGUGGAGCAUGUGGUUUAAUUCGAUGCAACGCGAAGAACCUUACCUGGUCUUGACAUCCACAGAACUUGCCAGAGAUGGCUUGGUGCCUUCGGGAACUGUGAGACAGGUGCUGCAUGGCUGUCGUCAGCUCGUGUUGUGAAAUGUUGGGUUAAGUCCCGCAACGAGCGCAACCCUUAUCCUUUGUUGCCAGCGGUU